UACGUAGGGACCGAGCGUUGUCCGGAAUCAUUGGGCGUAAAGAGCGUGUAGGCGGCCACUUAAGUCCUGCGUGAAAUCUUGCGGGCUCAACCGCAAGCGGUCGUGGGAAACUGGGUGGCUAGAGUGCGGGAGAGGAGAGUGGAAUUCCUGGUGUAGCGGGUGAAAUGCGCAGAUAUCAGGAAGAACACCGGUGGCGAAGGCGGCGCUCUGGACCGAGACUGACGCUGAGGCGCGAAAGCGUGGGAGCAAACA
rnacentral:rRNA from 1 species